GAACGCGAAGAACCUUACCCGGGCUUGAACCAAGAGUGACGAGUGCAGAGAUGCACUUUUCUUCGGACACUUUUGGAGGUGCUGCAUGGUUGUCGUCAGCUCGUGCCGUGAGGUGUCGGCUUAAGUGCCAUAACGAGCGCAACCCUUUUCUACGUUUGCCAUCGGGUAAUGCCGGGAACUCCGUGGAUACUGCCGCCGCAAGGCGGAGGAAGGUGGGGAUGACGUCAAAUCAGCACGGCCCUUACGUCCGGGGCUACACACGUGUUACAAUGGUCGGAGCAGCAGGAAGCUACCUGCGACAGGAUGCUGAUCCCAAAACCCGGCCUCAGUUCGGACUGGAGUCUGCAACCCGACUCCACGAAGCCGGAUUCGCUAGUAAUCGCGCAUCAGCCAUGGCGCGGUGAAUACGUUCCCGGGUCUUGUACACACC
rnacentral:rRNA from 1 species